rnacentral:tRNA from 1 species
UGGGGCGUAGCCAAGCGGUAAGGCAGCGGGCUUUGGACCCGCUACGCGUAGGUUCGAAUCCUGCCGCCCCAGCCA